rnacentral:rRNA from 2 species
CAGCCGCCACGGUAAAACCAGCACCUCAAGUGGUCAGGAUGAUUAUUGGGCCUAAAGCAUCCGUAGCCGGCUCUGUAAGUUUUCGGUUAAACCUGUACGCUCAACGUACAGGCUGCCGGGAAUACUGCAGAGCUAGGGAGUGGGAGAGGUAGACGGUACUCGGUAGGAAGGGGUAAAAUCCUUUGAUCUAUUGAUGACCACCUGUGGCGAAGGCGGUCUACCAGAACACGUCCGACGGUGAGGGAUGAAAGCUGGGGGAGCAAACCGGAUUAGAUACCCGGGUAGUCCCAGCUGUAAACUAUGCAAACUCAGUGAUGCAUUGGCUUGUGGCCAAUGCAGUGCUGCAGGGAAGCCGUUAGGUUUGCCGCCUGGGAAGUACGUACGCAAGUAUGAAACUUAAAGGAAUUGGCGGGGGAGCAC